AGGAGCUUGCUCCUUUGACGUUAGCGGCGGACGGGUGAGUAACACGUGGGCAACCUACCUUAUAGUUUGGGAUAACUCCGGGAAACCGGGGCUAAUACCGAAUAAUCUAUUUUACUUCAUGGUGAAAUACUGAAAGACGGUUUCGGCUGUCGCUAUAAGAUGGGCCCGCGGCGCAUUAGCUAGUUGGUGAGGUAACGGCUCACCAAGGCGACGAUGCGUAGCCGACCUGAGAGGGUGAUCGGCCACACUGGGACUGAGACACGGCCCAGACUCCUACGGGAGGCAGCAGUAGGGAAUCUUCCACAAUGGGCGAAAGCCUGAUGGAGCAACGCCGCGUGAGUGAAGAAGGUUUUCGGAUCGUAAAACUCUGUUGUAAGGGAAGAACAAGUACAGUAGUAACUGGCUGUACCUUGACGGUACCUUAUUAGAAAGCCACGGCUAACUACGUGCCAGCAGCCGCGGUAAUACGUAGGUGGCAAGCGUUGUCCGGAAUUAUUGGGCGUAAAGCGCGCGCAGGCGGUCCUUUAAGUCUGAUGUGAAAGCCCACGGCUCAACCGUGGAGGGUCAUUGGAAACUGGGGGACUUGAGUGCAGAAGAGGAAAGUGGAAUUCCAAGUGUAGCGGUG
rnacentral:rRNA from 1 species